rnacentral:rRNA from 1 species
AUUUGUAGGCAGACCUGCUUGUCAAUGCCCGAUCUUGUCAGAUCUCGGAAGCUAAGCAAGAGACUGGUUAGUACUUGGAUGGGAGAUUGCUGGAAAUACCUGGUGCCACAGUGU